rnacentral:lncRNA from 1 species
GAUAUUAGACAAACAACUCAUUCAACAAAGGCACUGUAUGAAAAUUUUUCAUCCAUAUUAAAGCACAUAUAUCCAUAAUAUUUGCUUAGCCUCAUCACCAAUCCAAGAUUAUCAGAAAAAUAGAAAAUGUAACUAAUGACUUGCUGAACUAUUUCCAACAGAGGCUACUGGUUCAUAUAUUGUUGCAUACCUGAAAAUGGGUCCUAUUCUCUUUAUGUUACCCAUGCUGCAAUACAUUUUUGCAAUCGAAAAGAUGGGUGUUCAUAGAAAAGACAGAUGCAACUUGCCAGGUGCAGGUAAAUAACAAGUACUUGGAAGAAGCUACCUU